CCUACGGGUGGCAGCAGUGAGGAAUAUUGGUCAAUGGGAGCAAGCCUGAACCAGCCAUGCCGCGUGAAGGACGACGGCUCUACGGGUUGUAAACUUCUUUUGUACAGGAGUAAAGUGACUUACGUGUGGCGUUUUGAAAGUACUUUACGAAUAAGGAUCGGCUAACUCCGUGCCAGCAGCCGCGGUAAUACGGAGGAUCCGAGCGUUAUCCGGAUUUAUUGGGUUUAAAGGGAGCGUAGGUUGUUUUAUAAGUCAGCGGUGAAAUACCGAUGCUCAACCUCGGGACUGCAGUUAAUACUGUAGGUCUAGAGUACGGAUGCAGCAGGCGGAAUGUGUAGUGUAGCGGUGAAAUGCAUAGAUAUUACGCAGAACACCGAUUGCGAAGGCAGCUUGCUAGGCCGCAACUGACACUGAUGCACGAAAGCGUGGGGAUCGAACAGGAUUAGAUACCCGUGUAGUC
rnacentral:rRNA from 1 species